UGCCAGCCGCCGCGGUAAUACGGGCGCUCCAAGCGUUAAUCGGAAUUACUGGGCGUAAAGCGCGCGUAGGCGGUUUUGUAAGUCGGAUGUGAAAUCCCUGGGCUUAACCUGGGAACUGCAUUCGAUACUGCAUAACUAGAGUAUGGUAGAGGGAAGUGGAAUUUCCGGUGUAGCGGUGAAAUGCGUAGAUAUCGGAAGGAACACCAGUGGCGAAGGCGACUUCCUGGGCCACUACUGACGCUGAGGUGCGAAAGCGUGGGGAGCAAACAGGAUUAGAUA
rnacentral:rRNA from 1 species